rnacentral:rRNA from 1 species
UACGGGGGGGGCAAGCGUUGUUCGGAAUUACUGGGCGUAAAGGGCGUGUAGGUGGCCAACUAAGUCCGACGUGAAAUCCCCAGGCUUAACCUGGGAACUGCGUCGGAUACUGGAUGGCUUGAAUUCGGGAGAGGGAUGCAGAAUUCCAGGUGUAGCGGUGAAAUGCGUAGAUAUCGUGAGGAAUACCAGAGGCGAAGGCGGCUACCUGGACAAUUGCUGACGCUCAGGCACGAAAGCGUGGGGAGCAAAAGGG